rnacentral:rRNA from 1 species
UACGGAGGGUGCGAGCGUUGUCCGGAAUCACUGGGCGUAAAGGGCGCGUAGGCGGCCUGAUAAGUAGGGGGUGAAAUCCUGCGGCUUAACCGCAGGGCUGCCUUCUAAACUGUCAGGCUAGAGCACAGUAGAGGCAGGUGGAAUUCCCGGUGUAGCGGUGGAAUGCGUAGAUAUCAUUUGGAACGCCAAUGGUGAAAACAACUCGCUGGGGAAGUGCUGACGCUGAGACACGAAAGCCAGGGGAGCGAACGGG